GGGGAUUUAGCUCAGCAGCAAAAGCACCUGCCUUGCAAGCAGCAGUUGUGAGUUCAAUCCCUA
rnacentral:tRNA from 1 species